rnacentral:rRNA from 1 species
CAUACCAGCCAUAUCACUCUGCAAGACUAGUUACACACUGAAGCUAAGCAGGGCUGAGCCUGGUUAGUACCUGGAUGGGAGACCACAUGGGAAAACUAAGUUGCUGUUGGAA